rnacentral:rRNA from 1 species
GACGAACGCUGGCGGCAGGCCUAACACAUGCAAGUCGAGCGGAGCGACGGGCGGAUGAGUGAGUCAUAUAAAACGGCCUGGUAGUGGGGGAUAGCGUACGGAAACGGGCGCUAGUACCGCCUACUAUCAGAUGAGCCUAGUUCGGAGUAGCUAGUUGGUUGGGUAAGGGCCUACAAGGCCGACGAGCCGUACCUGGUCUGAGAGGAUGAUCAGUCAACCUGGAACUGAGACACGGCCCAGACUCCUACGGGAGGAAGCAGUGGGGAAUAUUGGACAAUGGGCGCAAGCCUGAUGCAGCCAUGCCGCGUGUGUGAAGAAGGUCUUCGGAUUGUAAAGCACUUUAAGUUGGGAGGCGUUACCAACAGAAUAAGCACCGGCUAACUUCGUGCCAGCAGCCGCGGUAAUUC